rnacentral:ncRNA from 1 species
GAGAGUUGUGUGAUGGGUGACUAUCCAGCACGGUUCGAAGAGCACUUUUAUCCUGCGCUGGUGAAUGGAAGCCCCUCUAUCAAGCAAGAAGGAAGCAUCUCUUCCCACGGAGGAGUCACCAUUGACUCUAU